CACAGAGCAAUCUGUGUGACUGCGUACCUUUUGUAUAAUGGGUCAGCGACUUAUAUUCUGUAGCAAGGUUAACCGAAUAGGGGAGCCGAAGGGAAACCGAGUCUUAACUGGGCGUUAAGUUGCAGGGUAUAGACCCGAAACCCGGUGAUCUAGCCAUGGGCAGGUUGAAGGUUGGGUAACACUAACUGGAGGACCGAACCGACUAAUGUUGAAAAAUUAGCGGAUGACUUGUGGCUGGGGGUGAAAGGCCAAUCAAACCGGGAGAUAGCUGGUUCUCCCCGAAAGCUAUUUAGGUAGCGCCUCGUGAAUUCAUCUCCGGGGGUAGAGCACUGUUUCGGCAAGGGGGUCAUCCCGACUUACCAACCCGAUGCAAACUGCGAAUACCGGAGAAUGUUAUCACGGGAGACACACGGCGGGUGCUAACGUCCGUCGUGAAGAGGGAAACAACCCAGACCGCCAGCUAAGGUCCCAAAGUCAUGGUUAAGUGGGAAACGAUGUGGGAAGGCCCAGACAGCCAGGAUGUUGGCUUAGAAGCAGCCAUCAUUUAAAGAAAGCGUAAUAGCUCACUGGUCGAGUCGGCCUGCGCGGAAGAUGUAACGGGGCUAAACCAUGCACCGAAGCUGCGGCAGCGACGCUUAUGCGUUGUUGGGUA
rnacentral:rRNA from 1 species